AUUGAACGCUGGCGGAAUGCUUUACACAUGCAAGUCGAACGGUAGAGGGGGCAACCCCUCGAGAGUGGCGAACGGGUGAGUAAUAUAUCGGAACGUGCCCAGUCGUGGGGGAUAACGUAGCGAAAGUUACGCUAAUACCGCAUACGAUCUAAGGAUGAAAGCGGGGGAUCGCAAGACCUCGCGCGAUUGGAGCGGCCGAUAUCAGAUUAGGUAGUUGGUGGGGUAAAGGCUCACCAAGCCAACGAUCUGUAGCUGGUCUGAGAGGACGACCAGCCUCACUGGAACUGAGACACGGCCCAGACUCCUACGGGAGGCAGCAGUGGGGAAUUUUGGACAAUGGACGCAAGUCUGAUCCAGCCAUUCCGCGUGCAGGAUGAAGGCCCUCGGGUUGUAAACUGCUUUUGUACGGAACGAAAAGGUCUCUCUUAAUACGGGGGACUCAUGACGGUACCGUAAGAAUAAGCACCGGCUAACUACGUGCCAGCCGCCGCGGUAA
rnacentral:rRNA from 1 species